GUUUCUAUGGUGUAACUGCACAUUAGAUUUUCAUUCUAAAGGAAUAAAGCUAUUUAUUAGAAAUA
rnacentral:tRNA from 1 species